GAUGAACGCUGGCGGCGUGCUUAACACAUGCAAGUCGAACGGAAAGGCCCAAGCUUGCUUGGGUACUCGAGUGGCGAACGGGUGAGUAACACGUGGGUGAUCUGCCCUGCACUUCGGGAUAAGCCUGGGAAACUGGGUCUAAUACCGGAUAGGACGAUGGUUUGGAUGCCAUUGUGGAAAGUUUUUUCGGUGUGGGAUGAGCUCGCGGCCUAUCAGCUUGUUGGUGGGGUAAUGGCCUACCAAGGCGUCGACGGGUAGCCGGCCUGAGAGGGUGUACGGCCACAUUGGGGCUGAGAUACGGCCCAGACUCCUACGGGAGGCAGCAGUGGGGAAUAUUGCACAAUGGGCGCAGGCCUGAUGCAGCGACGCCGCGUGGGGGAUGACGGCCUUCGGGUUGUAAACUCCUUUCGCUAGGGACGAAGCGUUUUUGUGACGGUACCUGGAGAAGAAGCACCGGCUAACUACGUG
rnacentral:rRNA from 1 species